UCUACCCUAACCCCCAAAUCCACAAUCCAUAGUUCCAUACCCUAACCUUCAGGCUUCAGUACUUAUCGCUCCCUCUUCUCCAAAUCUCCACACCUGCCAACCUGUGCACUCAGCCACACCUGCCGACCUGCGCACCCAGCCACCCACCACCGCGAAGCCUUCGGCCCGUCGCACAUCAGGCCAAUACGAAGCCACCACCGACCGACUCGACACGGCAGCACAGCACCACACCGCCGCCGUUGAGACGCCACCACCCGAAGCACCGUUUCUGGCCACCCAUAGCAGUACAGCUGCGUUUCUGGCCACCCACAACACAGCGCAACACCGAGCCACCCAGCCACUGAUUCAAGUCAUAUAUGGAGCCUCCGAGUUAGCAUACUCACAGGGCUUCUUCAAUUCAUGAUGGACAACCACCGAGAAGCAGUGUUUAGCAAAAUCUUCCCUUUCUUUCAAUUGCAAGAAGUAGGUCUAUUGCAUCAUCUCUUCACAAGUCACCAUAGAAUUUAGCAAGUUAACAACAUACCAAUGAAAGAUUCACGUGGAAGUGGUCGACAAACUUGGCAAGACUAUGCCAGGCAACAAAGACAAAAUAUGAGCGAAGAACAGAGGCAGCAACACCUUUCCAGAAGGCGUGCCAGUUACCGAGAGAGUAUUAGAUGAGGAAAACAAAUCGAUACAUCGAGUGGAACUAACAUGACAACACCAUUACAAGAUAUCACAAACACACCUGCUCAUCAAUAUUCUGUAUCAGAAAUUUAUGGAAAUAGAUCUGAUCAAAACAGUAGACGUGAAGAAAAAAUAACAAGUGUUGGAACAUGAAGAUUAAAUCACUUGCAAGCUUAGAGGGUUAAUCGAUUAAUUGGCCAACAUUUCCUUUACUGUAUUUUGAUUUAAGUAGUUAUUAGCUUUUAUUUGAUGUUAUGUUUAGUUGGUUUGUUACAACUCUUGAUAUUGAUAAACUCUUUUAUUUUGAUAUGUUACAUAUUUUGGAAGUA